rnacentral:rRNA from 1 species
AAUAGAUACCCGGGUAGUCCACGCCGUAAACGAUGAGUGCUAAGUGUUAGAGGGUUUCCGCCCUUUAGUGCUGCAGCUAACGCAUUAAGCACUCCGCCUGGGGAGUACGGCCGCAAGGCUGAAACUCAAAGGAAUUGACGGGGGCCCGCACAAGCGGUGGAGCAUGUGGUUUAAUUCGAAGCAACGCGAAGAACCUUACCAGGUCUUGACAUCCUCUGCCAACCCUAGAGAUAGGGGCGUUCCCCUUCGGGGGACAGAGUGACAGGUGGUGCAUGGUUGUCGUCAGCUCGUGUCGUGAGAUGUUGGGUUAAGUCCCGCAACGAGCGCAACCCUUGAUCUUAGUUGCCAGCAUUCAGUUGGGCACUCUAAGGUGACUGCCGGUGACAAACCGGAGGAAGGUGGGGAUGACGUCAAAUCAUCAUGCCCCUUAUGACCUGGGCUACACACGUGCUACAAUGGAUGGUACAAAGAGCUGCGAACCCGCGAGGGUAAGCGAAUCUCAUAAAGCCAUUCUCAGUUCGGA